rnacentral:rRNA from 1 species
UACGAAGGGGGCUAGCGUUGCUCGGAAUCACUGGGCGUAAAGCGCACGUAGGCGGAUUGCUAAGUCAGGGGUGAAAUCCUGGAGCUCAACUCCAGAACUGCCUUUGAUACUGGGAGCUCGAGUCCGGGAGAGGUGAGUGGAACUCCGAGUGUAGAGGUGAAAUUCGUAGAUAUUCGGAAGAACACCAGUGGCGAAGGCGGCUCACUGGCCCGAUACUGACGGCUGAGGCACGAAAAGCGUGGGGGA